rnacentral:rRNA from 1 species
AGAGUCAACGCUGGCGGCGUGCCUCAGACAUGCAAGUCGAACGAUUAAAGCUCUCUUCGGAGAGUGCAUAAAGUGGCGCACGGGUGAGUAACACGUAAGUAAUCUACCUUCGAGUGGGGAAUAACGUCCGGAAACGGACGCUAAUACCGCAUAAUGCAGCGGCAUCGCAAGAUGACAGUUGUUAAAGAUUUAUCGCUUGGAGAGGAGUCGUUGCGGCAGAUUAGCUAGUUGGUAAGUAAUGGACUUACAGGCUACGAUC